UGUUUACGGACGGUGAGUUGUAGCGUGGUGGUCAGUGAAUAGGCCAGGUGGACGUUAAUAUACCACUGUGCAACAUUAUUUCAUGAACAUCAAGUAACGGGCUUGCCAUAAAAAGAAGUCUUGGCGACAAAUACUGCAGGAGUUAGUGGAGGGACUGCAGAGAAGUGAGGAAAUCUGGGAGGGAAGAGAGGGAAGGAUUGCAACGCCAUUCCAGCGUUUCCUUUCCACUCAGGAAAGGAUUUUGUGCUGCUGGCGGCGAGAAUCUCCUGGAUCCCCAAAGCGACAGGCGUUGGGAGCAGCUGACUCUCGGGCUGUUGAGUCGAGGCGGGGAGUGCAGAAGUCAACGCCGGGGAACCAACUCUUCCCGUCCGCUUCCCUGCAUCGAGUUAUGGAGCGUGUGAGAAGCCACUAAUAUGUGUCAGGCAGCAGAAGACGCGACUCUGUUAGAACACCACUGAUGCCUGACGGAGACGCUGCAGAAGUGUGGAAAUUUGGGAAUGACUUGUCUUAUGACCUAUCAAGCAGCAAAAGACAUGAAUCCGUUAGAACACCAGUCGCACCUGACGGAGACGCUGCAGAAGUGUGGAGAUGCGGAAAUGACGUGUUAUGACCUCUUUCCAAUGCUUUAGCUGGCGUUGAGGGAUGUCAGCCGUGGAGUGCCGCAAGUAUAAGGCUCUGGUACCCUCGCAUCACCAAGGGCAACGAGGGGAAGGAUGGAAAGGAGGUUGGAUGCUCAGACCCCUUCACUGUACCUUUCACGUGGACCCAGCAGCUCAGCCUCAGUCCUGGAAGUGUGGCCAAGAAUAGCGUGGCCAGCCAUUGACUCACCAUGCAGCGUCUCUAUUGGCCCGCGUGACGCCACCACCAGCCACCAACACGUCACCAACACGUCACCAUCACGCACUCAGACAGGUAAUUACUAUACUCCCCGAAGCCGCCAUGUUGCUGACGUCACUUCCGGGCCAGCUGAAGGCCAUAAACGGCACGGAAACAAAAGACAGACGCUCGUAAAAGGUGGAACGUCUUGCACAUCGCGAUCAGAUCCCGUAAAAAGGAGUUCUCUGGAAUACUCUUUAAGAUUUUCCUCCUCCUUUUCUUGUUAUUUUUAUUUCCACGCAAAAAUCGAGAGUUUUAGGAAGUUGUAAUAGAUUAAGUUUCUUUGAUAUUUUAGUUGUUUCUGAGGAUAAUUUAAGAAUGUUUGAGUUUAUAAUAAGUUAAGGAAAAAUGGUUUGUAUCAUAUUUAGAAAAAAACAAGUGUAUGAUAUUUUUACAGGAAAGAAUUAUUUUUAUUUCCACGCAAAAAUCGGGAGUUUUAGGAAAUAAUAAUAGAUUAAGUUUCUUUGAUGUUUUUAGUUAUUUCUGAGGAUAAUUUGAGAAUGUUUGAGUUUAUAAUAAGUUAAGGAAAAGUGUUUAUCAUAUUAGAAAAAAAUGUACAUGAUAUUUUUACAGGAAAGAAUGAAAUAAUGAAUUGUGAAGUUUUCGUUUAGUAGUUACGUUGUUUAU